rnacentral:rRNA from 1 species
UACGUAGGGUGCAAGCGUUGUCCGGAAUUAUUGGGCGUAAAGAGCUCGUAGGCGGUUUGUCGCGUCUGCUGUGAAAACUCGGGGCUUAACUCCGGGCCUGCAGUGGGUACGGGCAGACUAGAGUGCGGUAGGGGAGACUGGAAUUCCUGGUGUAGCGGUGAAAUGCGCAGAUAUCAGGAGGAACACCGGUGGCGAAGGCGGGUCACUGGACCACAACUGACGCUGAGGCGCGAAAGCUAGGGGAGCAAACAGG